GUAACUCAGAUUUGUAUGCAGUUGGAACAGCGCCCCUAGCGGCAAACGUAGGCAAACGUUCCAAAUCCAUACAAAUUUCAUUUA
rnacentral:pre_miRNA from 1 species